AGCGUAGACGGAAUGGCAAGUCUGAUGUGAAAGGCCGGGGCUCAACCCCGGGACUGCACUGGAAACUGUCAAUCUAGAGUACCGGAGGGGUAAGUGGAAUUCCUAGUGUAGCGGUGAAAUGCGUAGAUAUUAGGAGGAACACCAGUGGCGAAGGCGGCUUACUGGACGGUAACUGACGUUGAGGCUCGAAAGCGUGGGGAGCAAACA
rnacentral:rRNA from 1 species